rnacentral:lncRNA from 1 species
GCACCGCCUCUUGGGUUUUGCGAGUAGUUUCUGUGAACACGGCUUGGCUCGGGAGUCCGCGGGCCCUGGGGCAUCGGGCCUCCUGCAGGAAGCUGGCCAGUAUUGCAGUCCGGGUGGACGUCUCCUGCUUCGACGACUACUGCCUGACACCGAGGCAUGAUACGGGAUUUCAACACCACGGUGGUUUCUCCGGUAAGGCUCUGUGAUUUCCCGCAGGUGAGAACGGGAUGUAACUGAGGACAAUGAACAGCUGAGCUGCAAGGUGGAUGUUUGUAAUUAUAAGCAUGAUUUGAUUUGCACCACACCCUUCAGAAACGCACGAGCCUCAGACCCAGGACCAAAGGUAAAACACCUGAGUGUGCAGGGCCGAGAGCUUGGAGGGACCCCAC